rnacentral:rRNA from 1 species
CCUACGGGAGGCUGCAGUGGGGAAUAUUGGACAAUGGGGGCAACCCUGAUCCAGCCAUGCCGCGUGUGUGAAGAAGGCCCUCGGGUUGUAAAGCACUUUCAGUGAGGAAGAACGCCUGGUGGUUAAUACCCAUCAGGAAAGACAUCACUCACAGAAGAAGCACCGGCUAACUCCGUGCCAGCAGCCGCGGUAAUACGGAGGGUGCGAGCGUUAAUCGGAAUUACUGGGCGUAAAGCGCGCGUAGGUGGCUUGAUAAGCCGGUUGUGAAAGCCCCGGGCUCAACCUGGGAACGGCAUCCGGAACUGUCAAGCUAGAGUGCAGGAGAGGAAGGUAGAAUUCCCGGUGUAGCGGUGAAAUGCGUAGAGAUCGGGAGGAAUACCAGUGGCGAAGGCGGCCUUCUGGACUGACACUGCCACUGAGGUGCGAAAGCGUGGGUAGCAAACAGGAUUAGCUACCCUUGUAGUC